rnacentral:rRNA from 1 species
UAGUCCAUGCCGUAAACGGUGGGCGCUAGGUGUGAGUCCCUUCCACGGGGUUCGUGCCGUAGCUAACGCAUUAAGCGCCCCGCCUGGGGAGUACGGCCGCAAGGCUAAAACUCAAAGGAAUUGACGGGGGCCCGCACAAGCGGCGGAGCAUGUGGAUUAAUUCGAUGCAACGCGAAGAACCUUACCUGGGCUUGACAUACACCGGAUCGCUGCAGAGAUGUAGUUUCCCUUGUGGCUGGUGUAC